rnacentral:rRNA from 1 species
UGGGGGAUAUUGCACAAUGGGCGAAAGCCUGAUGCAGCGACGCCGCGUGGGGGAUGAAGGCCUUCGGGUUGUAAACUUCUUUUGCUCUGAACAAGGCGCACCAUGGGGUGUGUUGAGUGUAGGGGUUGAUUAGCGCCGGCUAACUACGUGCCAGCAGCCGCGGUAAUACAUAGGGCGCGAGCGUUGUCCGGAAUUAUUGGGCGUAAAGGGCUUGUAGGUGGCUGGUUGCGUCUGUCGUGAAAGCUCAUGGCUUAACUGUGGGUUUGCGGUGGGUACGGGCUGGCUUGAGUGCAGUAGGGGAGGCUGGAAUUCCUGGUGUAGCGGUGGAAUGCGCAGAUAUCAGGAGGAAUACCGGUGGCGAAGGCGGGUCUCUGGGCUGUUACUGACACUGAGGAGCGAAAGCAUGGGGAGCGAACAGG